UGCGUAGGCGGUCCCGCAAGUCCGCUGUGAAAUCCCCGGGCUUAACCUGGGAAUGGCAGUGGAAACUAGGGGACUUGAAUCUGGCAGAGGGGGUGGAAUGCCACGUGUAGCAGUGAAAUGCGUAGAGAUGUGGCGGAACACCGAUGGCGAAGGCAGCCCCCUGGGCUGAGAUUGACGCUCAGGCACGAAAGCGUGGGGAGCAAACAGGAUUAGAUACCCUGGUAGUCCACGCCCUAAACGAUGAUCACUAGGUGUUGGGGAAGCGAUUUCUCAGUACCGCAGCUAACGCGUGAAGUGAUCCGCCUGGGGAGUACGGUCGCAAGAUUAAA
rnacentral:rRNA from 1 species